ensembl:snRNA U6 U6 spliceosomal RNA
GUGCUCACUUCAGCUGCACAUAUACUAAAAUUGGAAUGAUACAGAGAAGAUUAGUAAGGCCUCUGCCCAAGGAUGACACACAAAUUCCUGAAGCAUUCCACAUUGGG